GACGGAGGAUGCAAGCGUUAUCCGGAAUGAUUGGGCGUAAAGCGUCCGCAGGUGGCAGUUCAAGUCUGCUGUCAAAGACCGGGGCUUAACUUCGGAAAGGCAGUGGAAACUGGCGACCUAGAGUGCGGUAGAGGGUAGUGGAAUUCCCGGUGUAGCAGUGAAAUGCGUAGAGAUCGGGAGGAACAUCCGUGGCGAAGGCGACUACCUGGACCAGCACUGACACUGAGGCACGAAAGCGUGGGGAGCAAACAGG
rnacentral:rRNA from 1 species